GGAGGGGGCCAGCGUUGCUCGGAAUUAUUGGGCGUAAAGGGCGCGUAGGCGGUCCGAUAAGUUUGAUGUGAAAUCCCAUGGCUCAACCAUGGAACUGCAUCUCAUACUGUCGGACUGGAGUCUGGGAGAGGGAAGCGGAAUUCCCGGUGUAGCGGUGAAAUGCGUAGAGAUCGGGAGGAAGGCCGGUGGCGAAGGCGGCGCUCUGGAACGUUUCUGACGCUGAGGCUCGAAAGCGUGGGGAGCAAACAGGAUUAGAUACCCUGGUAGUCCACGCCUUAAACUAUGAAUACUAAGUGUCGGCGGGUUACCGCCGGUGCCGCAGCUAACGCAUUAAGUAUUCCGCCUGGGAAGUACGGCCGCAAGGUUA
rnacentral:rRNA from 1 species